ensembl:snoRNA SNORA70 Small nucleolar RNA SNORA70
CUGCUCAUCAAAAACAUAAUUAAGAAAAGGAUGAUAUGCAAUGGCUGCAAACAGCAGCCUCCUCAAUAGUGUAUACAACCUGUUGCUUGCAUAGACUGCCCUAAGAGACCCUAGAGACCAUG